UGGGUGUGUAGCGAGCACCUGUGGCGGUAGCUUUCCGAACAAAGAGCGUGUGAAUGGGUGGAGGUAUGGGUACCGUCAUGUGUUGUCUUCACGUAGACGUUGGGCCCGAUUCAAGCCAAGCGUGACUCAUAGGACGUUUCGGGUAACUGAAGCGGUCUAGGAGAUGUAAACAGAGACAUAAUGGCAGAGGCUGGCAACAGAGCAUGCAAAAGUUUCGGCGUGUGGCAGUGAGUGGAAUACCUGGCCGAGUGUGCUUCCUUGACGGCCCAUACUGUAAAUUCAGA
rnacentral:SRP_RNA from 13 species